rnacentral:rRNA from 1 species
UCCGUAGGUGAACCUGCGGAAGGAUCAUUACCGUACGAGCGUGUGCGGCGGCCCCCCGAGGCCCUCCGGGGACUCGGGCGGUUAGGGCUCCUCCGGGGGCACCUUUAACGCGCACAUGGCCGAACCCUCACUAUUACGAGCACCUAACGUUCUCCUUCGGCGGGGUCCAACCCGCCGUCGGAACCCACAAACAACCUUUAUUUUGCAUCCAGCAUUACCUGUUCCGACGACAAACAAUCGUUACAACUUUCAACAAUGGAUCUCUUGGCUCUGGCAUCGAUGAAGAACGCAGCGAAAUGCGAUAAGUAGUGUGAAUUGCAGAAUUCAGUGAAUCAUCGAAUCUUUGAACGCACAUUGCGCCCCUCGGUAUUCCGUGGGGCAUGCCUGUUCGAGCGUCAUCUACACCCUCAAGCUCUGCUUGGUGAUGGGCGUCUGUCCCCGCCUCGGCGCGCGGACUCGCCCCAAACGCAUUGGCAGCGGUUUCCUCGCCCCCUCUCGCGCAGCACAUUGCGCUUCUCGAGGGCACGGCGGACCGCGCUCCAGCAAGCGACCACACACCGUCUUUGACCUCGGAUCAGGUAGGGAUACCCGCUGAACUUAAGCAUAUCAAUAAGCGGAGGA